UACAGAGGUCCCGAGCGUUGUCCGGAAUUAUUGGGCGUAAAGGGCUCGUAGGCGGUCUGUCACGUCAGGAGUGAAAACUCGGGGCUCAACCCCGAGCCUGCUUCUGAUACGGGCAGACUGGAGGUAUGCAGGGGAGAACGGAAUUCCUGGUGUAGCGGUGAAAUGCGCAGAUAUCAGGAGGAACACCGGUGGCGAAGGCGGUUCUCUGGGCAUUACCUGACGCUGAGGAGCGAAAGUGUGGGGAGCGAACAGG
rnacentral:rRNA from 1 species